UUUUUUAUUUAUUUCAUAGCGUUUUCUUGUUAACGUUGUAAAAGACAUUGUCCAACUAUUCCGGGUAAUGCAAUUUUAUGUUAGUUUCUUCGUUUGCAAAAACCAUUGACGAACACACAGACAUAUUUAUAGGGACGAAAAAAGUGAAAACAUAGGUCUCCCGCAAUGUCGAUGUUGGCACUAACAGUACUGAUGAUACUUAGAAAUGGAAACUUAGAAUAGAAUAACGAAUACUUAAUGAGCAGAUAUAACUUAAUCAUAAUAACAUUCUACCUUAAACCGAUAUAAUAUAAUAAAUAUCAAACGUCAAAUAUUUACAAUCAUGGUUAUUUACAGUGUUAAUUACAAACCGGGAUUUUACAUUAGAGACCUCCUUCCUAAAGACCUAAAUCUAAUUCUUUAAACAAAUGUCUACUUCAAAUCUCAUAUCUGUACGUGGUGCAUACAGAUGACAGGCCAUUGGUUGUCAAACACAAACAGGUACAGGUGAGACACGCUCUGGGAUGUACAAUUUUGGGGUCUGAUAUAAAUGACUCCUGAUCAUUCUAAUAUCUUACUCGUUAAAAUAUCUUGUAUUAACAUUUGAUUUCAGGUUAUAUAAUGUAUUGUUUUAUGUACCUGCUGAUUUAUACUAAAAAGCUUUAAUUCGAUUAAGAAUUAAGUCAAACAUGCUACAUGCUCAUGUCCCAAAUCAGGAACCUCGUCAUUAGUCUUUUCAUCGCAUGUUGAUUUUCGUUCAUCAGUAUGUUGUCUGCUUGGUUGUUGCGUUGAUGUCUCGUUGGUGUAUAGCAUCACAGACCCAACUUUACUGUC
rnacentral:lncRNA from 1 species